CCUACGGGUGGCUGCAGUGGGGAAUAUUGGACAAUGGGCGAAAGCCUGAUCCAGCCAUGCCGCGUGUGUGAAGAAGGCCUUCGGGUUGUAAAGCACUUUCAGUGGGGAAGAAAGCCUUGGGGCUAAUACCCUCGAGGAAGGACAUCACCCACAGAAGAAGCACCGGCUAACUCCGUGCCAGCAGCCGCGGUAAUGCGGAGGGUGCGAGCGUUAAUCGGAAUUACUGGGCGUAAAGCGCGCGUAGGCGGUCUGAUAAGCCGGUUGUGAAAGCCCCGGGCUCAACCUGGGAACGGCAUCCGGAACUGUCAGGCUAGAGUGCAGGAGAGGAAGGUAGAAUUCCCGGUGUAGCGGUGAAAUGCGUAGAGAUCGGGAGGAAUACCAGUGGCGAAGGCGGCCUUCUGGACUGACACUGACGCUGAGGUGCGAAAGCGUGGGUAGCAAACAGGAUUAGAUACCCCUGUAGUC
rnacentral:rRNA from 1 species